rnacentral:rRNA from 1 species
UACAGAGGUCUCAAGCGUUGUUCGGAUUCAUUGGGCGUAAAGGGUGCGUAGGCGGCGCGGUAAGUCGGGUGUGAAAUCUCGGAGCUUAACUCCGAAACUGCAUUCGAUACUGCCGUGCUUGAGGACUGGAGAGGAGACUGGAAUCUACGGUGUAGCGGUGAAAUGCGUAGAUAUCGUAAGGAAGACCAGUGGCGGAAGGCGGGUCUCUGGACAGUUCCUGACGCUGAGGCACGAAGGUCAGGGGAGCAAACGGG